AGAGUUUGAUCAUGGCUCAGAACGAACGCUGGCGGCAGGCCUAACACAUGCAAGUCGAGCGCCCGCAAGGGAGCGGCAGACGGGUGAGUAACGCGUGGGAACCUACCUAGUGGUGCGGAACAACCAAGGGAAACUUUGGCUAAUGCCGCAUGAGCCCUAAGGGGGAAAGAUUUAUCGCCAUUAGAUGGGCCCGCGUCGGAUUAGCUAGUUGGUGAGGUAAAGGCUCACCAAGGCGACGAUCCGUAGCUGGUCUGAGAGGAUGAUCAGCCACACUGGGACUGAGACACGGCCCAGACGCUUUCGAGCGGCAGCAGGGAGGAAUCUUGGACAAUGGGCGAAAGCCUGAUCCAGCCAUACCGCGUGAGGGAUGAAGGCUAAAUGGGUUGUAGACCUCUGACCUGAGUCUAGAUUGUUACAUGGAUUCAGGGAAAAGUCCCGGCUAACUCCGUGCCAGCAGCCGCGGUAAUUC
rnacentral:rRNA from 1 species